UACGAGGGGGCAAGCGUUGUUCGGAAUUAUUGGGCGUAAAGGGCGCGUAGGCGGUUUGACAAGUCUGAUGUGAAAUCUAAUGGGCUCAACCCAUAGCCUGCAUUAGAAACUGUCGGGCUUGAGUAUGGGAGAGGUGAGUGGAAUUUCCGGUGUAGCGGUGAAAUGCGUAGAUAUCGGAAGGAACACCUGUGGCGAAAGCGGCUCACUGGACCAUAACUGACGCUGAGGCGCGAAAGCUAAGGGGAGCAAACAGGGAUUA
rnacentral:rRNA from 1 species